rnacentral:rRNA from 1 species
UACGUAGGGUGCGAGCGUUGUCCGGAAUUAUUGGGCGUAAAGAGCUCGUAGGCGGUGUGUCACGUCGAUCGUGAAAACUUGGGGCUUAACUCUGAGCUUGCGGUCGAUACGGGCAUCACUGGAGUUCGGCAGGGGAGACUGGAAUCCUGGUGUAGCGGUGAAAUGCGCAGAUAUCAGGAGGAACACCGGUGGCGAAGGCGGUUCUCUGGGACGGUACUGACGCUGAGACGCGAAAGCGUGGGGAGCGAACAGG